AGUGUUCCUCCAUCCAUCAUAGCUCUUCUUUCUUAAAACCGAGUGCCUUUGAUUGUCUUCUCUCCUUUCUCUGCAGUCUCUCCCAUUUCCUGAGUCAUUUGAUUAGCUCUGCCCUGUCUUAAAUGUUUCUUUCCCAUGACCCCACACUCUCUUGUAGUAACUAGCCCGUUGCUCUGCUUCUCUGUGUAGUCAGUCUUUUCCCCACUGUUUAGCCUUCUCUGCAUCCUCACCUCUCAUGUACACUUGAAACUACUGAAACCCACCUCUGCUCCUGCACCUUACCCAGCCAUGUGCCUGUCACUCAAAGGCA
rnacentral:lncRNA from 1 species